UAAUAAUAAUUCCUAAGUGUUUAUCUGAGCAAGUGAAAACAUGAAAAUGUUAUCAACUGAGGUGGGGGAGGCUAGAGGUGGAGUAGGUUUGGGGAAGUUAUGGUCUUGUUGAGUUUGAGGUACCUAUUAAAUACCUGUGAGAUAUUCAAGUUGAGAUGUGGAGCAGACAGGUAUACAAGUCUGGAGAGAUGCCUAGUCUUAGUCUAUAAAUUUGAGACAUGUAAUUUGCAGGGCCCAGUGCAACAUGAAAAGGAGAGCCCCUUGUUAAACUAUUAAGAAUUUUCAAGAUUGUGACAGCAGAGCAUUAACAAAGUAUGGGGUUCUCCUUAGGGAGACGUGCGUUGUGCACCCAUGAAACUGACCUUGUUUGGGAGUCAUGGACACAUGCAUGAUAUUUAAAGCCAUGAGAUUGGAUGAGAUCAUCAAAGGAAUGAGAUCAUCAAAGGAUGGAGAAGAGGACCAGGUACUGACCUCUGGGGCGCCCUGGGAUGAAGAGAUGGAGGAGAAGGGGAGAACCCAGCCCAAUAAAAUGAAAGGUGGGAGGAAAACCAGGACAUGCCCUGUCCUGGAAGCCAAGAGAGAAGGUGGAGGUGGGGAGGACCACCAGCUUCAUCGAAUGCUGCUGGGCCGUUAACCUGAGGACAGGGAACCACCAGCUGGCUCUAGCAACGGCUGCUAUUCUGUAAGGAAGGUCUUGCUGGAGAGAGAGGCCGCCUGAACAGAUGCUGUAGGAUGAAACCCCACAUGGAGGAAAACUGAGGCACCAAGCAGAGGCCCUGCUGAAUGCAACAAUAUGGGACUUCAGUUGACACUCUGUGGAGUCACCAGCCCAGCUACUUCUGCACGGUUGCCAAUGGAAACCAGAUAACUGGACUCUGACUGAUGCAGACAUGCCACCUUACGUCUUCUAUGAGAAGGACCGUAGGUUUCUGGCACAGUCCAAGUGUCCAGAGGAUUGUCAACACUCGUAUCAAUGGGCCCGUAGCUCCUGGAUUCCAGCUGAGGAGCAUGCGCUCUCGCGGAGCUUUUCAAAUUGGGUAGAUUUCAAAGCAAUAAGUGGAGGUAAACCAAAGCAGACAGAGGCCCUCCAACAAGCUUGUCAAGUUUGUCUCAAUGUGGAGAAGCAAAACCAAACUGACAGAUUCUUAACAAUCUGGACCAAUUUUCAAGAUCUCUCUCUUACAGCCAAAGGAAUUUGAAAUUUACACCAAUCCAAGGUUGUUUUGGAGACUAUUUUUGUGGACCAAAUUUACUCAGAAGUUUUAUGAAAACAGCUACACAUUCACUUCCAACUUGAACUAGUGAAGUGCUUUAAAAUCCUUUAAAUCUGAUAAACAAUGAGAUCCUGCUGUCUAGCCCUGGGAACUAUAUCUAGUCACUAUGACGGAGCGUGACGGAGGACCAUGUGAGAAGAUGAAGAUUUUGAUGGUUUCAGUUUUGUUCCAGUGUCAGGUGAGACUGCCACAAUUAACACAGUCCUAGGAAUAAAAAGAUGAGUCCAUUUACCAUAAGAGCAAGAAGAUAGCCAUUGACGAGCAGCAAGAGGGUCCUCACCAGAAGCUGAAUCUACUAGCACCUUGACCUUGGACUUCCUGGCCUACUGAACGCUGAGAAAUAAAGAUUAUAAGCUCUUUAAGAAAAGACUACCUCCUCUGUACACCGUGUUCCGAGGACCUCAUGUGGUACCAUGAACUCUGUGGGUGCUUGACAGUUACCUGGGUUAUUUCUUGACUUUCAGCUAUUGAUCGAAAUUAAAGCAAGCAGAGCUAAACCAAGACAGAGUCAAAUAUCAGGCAUUUAAGAGGGCGAAUUAGAGCAUGGCUAUAAGUGUUUAUGUGAGUGUUUGUGCAUAUAGAGCUCUCUGUUCCAAAACAGAUGAACAAGAAUUUGGUUUCAUUUCACAUUAGCUAUUUCUUUUCUCUUUCUUAGGGGUAUGAUUGAAACUUCCCAUCUUUUCACAGGUCUGCAGAGUCACCUCAGAAAUGUUACUUUGUUAUGUUAUAACAAAUCUUUAACAAAGUUAAAUAUUGCUAUGACCUACUUCCUUGUCAGAAGCUUCAUGAACAGAAAUAAAAUCACAAAAAGAAAUCACACAGAUUCCAUAGGAAAAAAUUCCCUAAUGUCAGUUAAAUAGUUCAAUAUGUAUACAAGUAUAUACAACACUUUCUUGGUAAACAUUAAUUAAAUGAACAAAAGAUGGGAGUUCCUGUCGUGGCGCAGUGGAAACGAAUGCGACAAGGAACCAUAAGGUUGUGUGUUUGAUCCCUGGCCUUGCUCAGUGGGUUAAGGAUCUGGCAUUGCCGUGAGCUGUGGUGUAGGUCGCAGAAUCAGCAGUCAAAUCUAAUAGUGUGGAUAAGGUUAACCUCUAAGAGAAUGACUUUGGGGGGACAGAAUGAAUUAAGAGGGCAGAUGGGAGAAGGAGAAAGAAGUGGAGGAAAAACCUGGGUGAGAAGGACUUAUUUUUAAGGCCUCAGAAGCUGGAACUCCUUUUUUCAGGGGCCAUAUGCUCCUUUCUUUCAUUCUCAGUAUUUCUUGCACAUUGAUUUGUAACCAGGUGCUCUGCAAGGCUCCAUGACUGUUGAGACAGCCCCUGCCCUUGGAGCAGCCUGGGAUUUGUGGGGAUACUGCAGGUGUGUGUGUACAAACUGCCUCAUCUUUCUGGACAUUCUGCCACUUCUGUCUUACUGAGUUUGCGCAGUUAUGGAACUAGUGUUCUGCCCUCCUCAGAUUUCACACUCCGAUGAAGAAACAUACCAUGUCUUAGAAUUUCAUCUUUUACUUUGGACAGCACUGUGACACUGAUUCUUUUGUUUGUUUGUUUGUUUAGUUCUGAAGAGUGCAAAAUUAU